rnacentral:rRNA from 1 species
GACGAACGCUGGCGGCGUGCUUAACACAUGCAAGUCGAGCGGUAAGGCCCUUUCGGGGGUACACGAGCGGCGAACGGGUGAGUAACACGUGGGUGACCUGCCCUCAGCUCUGGGAUAAGCCCGGGAAACUGGGUCUAAUACCGGAUAUGACUCCACGGUGCAUGUCGUGGGGUGGAAAGCCUUGUGCGGCUGAGGAUGGGCCCGCGGCCUAUCAGCUUGUUGGUGGGGUGAUGGCCACCAAGGCGACGACGGGUAGCCGGCCUGAGAGGGCGACCGGCCACACUGGGACUGAGACACGGCCCAGACUCCUACGGGAGGCAGCAGUGGGGAAUUGUUCGCAAUGGGCGCAAGCCUGACGACGCAACGCCGCGUGGAGGACGAAGAUUUUCGGAUCGUAAACUCCUUUCGAUCGGGAAGAACAGCUUUCGGGUUAAUAGCCUGGAGGUCUGACGGUACCGAGAGAAGAAG